UCAACUCGUCUCACUGGGACCGCUUUAUACGUUGGUCGUCGCGCUCUGCGCGCGGGAAACCCGUUGGACGAAUAAACCGUCGGGCUGAUUUUUUAUAUAUAUUUUUUUUUUUAUCACGGGAGGGGAAAAGGGCUUCAGUCGGCAACUACCCGAAGCAUUUGUCCGCUAUCACAACUUUCUGGAUCCAAAGGCCAGCUUCACGUGGAUGAUUAUGCUGGAGCUGUUACCGAACCCUGUUAUGCACCUGGACGAAUUUUCGAAAAACCAGGGGUGGGGCGUGAAAAUCGAAUGGCCCCCAACAACGAUGUACCCACUAUGGACGCAUAAAUUACGACGAUAAACAUGUUAUUUAUAGGGGUAGGACAUAAAUUGCCUAUGCUAAUUUCUGCUGAUCAACGGGGGAAGCCGACAGAGAGAGAGGAGAGUGAGAGAGAAAGCGAGAGGAAGAGUGGAGGCCAGGGCUUUGCACAAACGCUUGGCGAUCGACACGGUGAACAUGGACUAUCGGGAACAACAGACCUAGGACCAUGCACUCCUAAAAAAAUCGUAAUUUUUGUAUCGAGGAAAAUGAAAAAAAAACAUUCGAGGGCCCCCACACGAUCUCGAAAAAUCUUGAUCCUCAUAACGCAAUUAUGAAAACUCGGGGAAAAUUGUUAUGCCAGUGCCAUCCACACUAGGUUUGGACUGCAGCCCAAUCCAAGUGUGUCAUGCCCCCGGUGAACCAACAGACAGUGGCCCAUGAGCCACCGGCUAUUUGUCCACCUCUGAUGCAAUCAACCUAACAAUUUACUGGUGCACUCUUUGGUCGAUUGAAUUCACUCAGAAGAAUGAAAUCAACGAUCGAUUGUUCUAAGGUCAUUGGUAAAGACCGAGAAUUUUCGGAAUAUAGAUGUUUUGUCAGGGCAUUAAUAUUCUACGAGGCAAGAUACUCCGAGGAGUACACGAGACAGGAUUUCUCGCGCGUUCUCUUGGACCGAGAGUUACCCGAACAGUUGCCGGCUGGUACGGCUGAUGGAAUAAUGGUCCAUUUGGGAUGCACGUGCUGUCGCUGGAUUCACAUCCCUCCCUUUCCUCCAUCUCCCUCUCUCUCUCUCUCUCUCUGACUACCCCUGCCAUCGCCGCACUCAGGGCUUCAUCCACCCGUGGUAUUUACAUGUCAUUUUGUGCAAUUAAUAUUUAUGCCGCCCGUCACUCUCGUACGUGCACAAUGAUGACUAUAACCAGACACCGGCUUUCCCACUAUCUCUGAAAUGCACCGAUGUUAAAGUGCUCCAGUGAUCAUCUCUGAUUUGAUUAAACUGAAAAAGGACGGGGUAAAAUGGGAUGCACUAUGCCAGAUGUUGGGUGAAAAUGUUCGAUGAAAUUGUUGAAAGUUUUUACUGCGGAAAUGUGGAGAAAUUUAUUUUCUGGAAAAUCUCUAAUUUCAUUGAUAAAUCAUAAAGAGAUGGAAAAAUUGUCAUUUCUAUUGUCGUGUGACUGAUCUUUUUAGGGAUCUGUUUCUAAUUCAGAUAUCUGGGAUUGGAGAAUUUCUAAGAUUUUUUAACUUGAAGAAUUUUACCAAUUACUAAAGGCCAAACAUUUUAUUAGAAAUUUAUCUCGUGUCUUGGAAAAUGAGGCUUCCAAAUGUUUGAACACUUUCAAUUAUUAAUUUAUGAAUAAUAAAUGGUGGAAAAAAUAUUCUGCUUUAGGGACAAAUAGUGAUGCUCUUUGGAUAAUUUCAUGAUUGUUCUAAAUUUUUUUUACGUAAUUUAUGAUCUGCACUAAAUUGCAAAGGAUACUUGCACGUUCAUUAAAUUAGUUUAAUUCAUUUUAAAAGUCUUCGCUAUAUUUUAAUCAGCAACUGGGGAAUUAAAAAUCAUGAAAAUAUUGACGAAAAGCGAGCUGAGAGUUAAAAAAAUCCUUAAUCAUAGAUUCAUUAAUCACAAACGAGCGAAAUUCCACUCACAACGCAGCUAUGAAAAGUUAAUUGAAAGUUCCCAAUGGUUUUUUAAUUUCUCAAUUUCUCUUCUUCUUUCACAUUCAGUAAUGCUGAUAAAAGCGGCUUUUACCCCAAGCAAUUUUAUUUCUCACGUUGCAGUGCUCUCCAUGUUUAUCUUUCAUUUACGCCCAGCCCAAGGCUAAAAGAAAAUAAUUGACCCAGUCAACUUGCAAUAGUUUAAUGAGAAUUUUUUUUCAACCUCAUGGAGCAUACUUCGAUCGCGAUUAAUGUAAACUUAACUGAGGAACACGUUGAACAUGCGGUUCUAAAACAAACUUUUUCUUCACUGUUUUAAUUUUCUUCCUUUCAACAUUGUUCCACUUGAAAAUUUUUUUUCAAAUUUUCCACGACGAAGUCCAGAAGUGUUUAUUGCAUGAAAUUCCCAAUCAUUUUAACAUGAAGGAUUCAAGAUUCCGAAGAAAAAUCAAAGAAAACUGAAUUUCCUCCCCCUUUUCUCUGAAAAAAUGACAAAAAAACAGAAAACUCUAAUAUAUAAAUUUUUAAAUCUUCUUAAAUUAUUAUUUAAAGUAUUGAAAUCUCUCGAUAAGAUUUAUUUACACUGUCACUAUAAUGUUAAAUUCUUCCUUUUCAUUCGUUUCGAAAAAUUAAAAAGAAAGUAUAUCAGAUAUUAUCGAUUUUUAAACCUCGAGAAAUUAAAAUAUAUUAGAAGUACGGCGGAGUAGUUGUGGUUGGUUCUGUGUUGAGAAUGCUGCGGGAUUAUUUGUGGUCGAGUCGAGCCAAAAAUCGAUAUUCCGCGGUCUUUCAAAUGAGAUGCCCCCGGUAAGCCAGUAAAUUGUUGCUUUGAAGUUCCAGGAAAUUAAUUCUCGCUCAACACUUGGGUAACGGGGAUGACACACGAACAGGACUUUUUUCGUACGUCACAUUACACUCGCGUGAGAUUUUUUUUAUUGCAAAGAAACGUGGGACCAAAUUAACAAUAGAGGAAAGGAGAAGAUGAGGCAAUCGCACUUCUGCUCACCGACUAAUGACACCUUGAAUUAUUUUGAUAUUUAACGCACAACGAGAAAAAUAUGAUAUAAGAAGUCCCGUAAAAUAUAGUAGAAUUAAAAUUAAGUAAGAAAAUUUUAUCAUUUGUCAGUCUAUUACCGCACAUUUUGCACAAACUCUCAAAAUUGUAAUUUAGUUAAUAAAAAAUCUUCAAUUUUCCGAAUGACACUUCCAAUUGCAUAAUUAUCUCUCAUUUAUGGCGACAUUUUCAAUCAAUAAUCCACCAUAUCUAAAAUAGUUCGGUCAUUCACCCUUUCGUCUUCUACCUACAAUAAUAUCGACUUCCACUCGCUCAGUGCAAAUCCCCGAUGUUCCCACCCCCAAGGAGUCAUUCUUAUUUAACUUUCGAUGAGAAAAAAAAUCACCGUCUUGUUCGAAUAAAAUUUAAAUCGAAGUCGUGCAAUCAAACUCAACAUGCAAUAAAAACAUCAAUUAAUCAGAGACGAGAAAAGACUCGUCAGUGGUGGGUGAGUGCUACGCUUAACCCUCUUUAGACGUCAAAAAGUCUCCCUUUUCUCGCUGGGUUUUCCGGCGUCGGCCACAGGAGAAAAGCUGAAGAAGCAAAAGGGGUUCUCCAUCCACUCUUCAUUUUAAAUUCCACCAACGAUGGAAAACAAUCAUCGAUCAUUAGUAGAGAAGCGUACAUCAUUUCGCCUCUUGGUAUAAAAAUAAAAGAUACCUUUCAACUCGCUGGAUUAUUAGGAGAAUUGAAAUUCCUACUGCGCACACCUGAAUCAACUCAAUCCCCUCGCACCAAUAAUAAUUUGAUUUCACCGCUGAGUUUGAAAUUUUCUCGGGUGUAAUUAAAAUGCAGAUCGAGUCCUGCAAAUCACUCGAAAUUUUUUGGCCAAGGGGAUUCAACUCUCCCAAGUGGGGGUUAGAAGUUGGCGCAUUUUCUUUUCGUGAACACACAGACGAAUGAACAAACGAUCGUCUAAAAUAUAUUCUGCAUAAGAAAUGAGGGAGUAUAUUUCCAAGGGUCGAGCCAAGUUCUUAUCCAAAGAGAAAAAUAAUAUAAUAAUGUACUCUAGCUCUUCCUGUUUUCAUAUGCAAUUGGUAAUCCAAGAAUUACAGAAAAAAAAAUGGAUACUCUGCAGAGAUAGCGGAUAAAAUACAUGGAAAUAAGGAGAAAACAUCAGGGUUGAGAAUUUAUACUUGCGUUCUAUGCGCCUCGUUUAUCACUUAGUCUACCAGCUGGUGAGGUGAAAACCAACAAUAAUUAAUUUUCUUUUAAUUCACGAGAUUAAUGGAUCGCUCGGGAAUUUACGAUGGAAGAGAGCCGAUCAAUCCGUCAGAAUAUGAGUUUAGCCUCGAUUUUAUCAUUUAACGAGGACUGCGGAGAGUCUACUCAUCUUAUCUACAAAAUUUGAAUAUAUCGUCGGCUGUCACCAAAGACACCGAACAACAGCCCACGAUUCUACCGCUCUCAGAAUACUCAACUAAAUAAAUCUCCACAGACACAAAUUUUUUUAUAAAAUUUUUCUCCCUCUUCUCUAAAAGUAAAUCAUCACUCACCGUUUCUCUAUUUCUAUUUCAACCACUCAAAUUCCCGGCUGAUUCCAUAAUGCCUCAGCGACCUGUGUCUCCCAUAAUUCUCAAAAGCUUUCACUCCAUAAAAAAUCUGUUCUCCUGCGCUGUCACCUGUAAUUCAUCACAUCACCGACAUCAACAUUCCUCACCGCACGAUUCUGCGCAUCAAAACCUUCUCAUCUCCCUGCAAUUACCACAUCCCAAAGAUUCACCCCUAAACCUAUUAAAAUCAUAAAAAAAAAUCUCUGAAAUAAACUUUCACAAUCCACCACUCAAACAACUUUUUCCCACUACCUCCCCUGUAAAAAUAAAAAAAAAAAUCUUCAUAUUUAGUAUUUCGCUGAGGCUCCGUAUCUGCUUCCGAAAUGAAGUGUUGAAGAGCUAUGCCAACAGAAAUCCGAGCGGGGAAAGUAAAAACGCCUUUGAAUUCAUGAAAAGGCAUGAAAAAAAAAGUACAAAGCCACGCCGCCGGGCUAAUUUGUCUGAAUGAACGUGGAACGCCUGUGCUAUAUGGCAACAGGGAACUGCCAGCACAGGGAGGUGGGGGGGAUGGGAAGGAGGAGAGGUAUCAGGAGACAACCGGAAGAAGAGAGAAGCGUAAAAUGUUCGUAGACAGGUAGAGGAGCUGCAGGGAAUUUCAGCCUAAUUCUGGAUAAACACCCUUUCAUUAUUUCCGGUAGACAAUCCUUUGUUCUCCUUUGUUUCGGCUUACCCACUCGUCUUUACCUACUUCCCCCCCCCCCCCUCGCCCCGGCCAACUGCCAUAUCCACUCCAGACACCCUAUAACAUUUAAUCCAACCCCGUUGCCUUCACCAGUGUCACAGUUGAGUGAAAAAAAAAAUCAAUUUACCUAUUGAUGAAAUGAAGCUGAGUAUUUUGCACAAGUGAAUAAUCAAUGCAAGAGAAAUUAUCGGAAGCUCUAUCGGAUGAUGAGGGAUGAGGAUGAGAGUAGGAGGGUGGAGCAGCCGGUUUGGCACAACUAUGAGGUACUAUGUAUGGGGAAGGACAGCCGGAUGAUACUCGGCAAUGUCCAAUCUCGUUGUAUCGAUGUUUGCAUGUAAUUCGAUGGAUAAUGAUGACACAUUGGAUUCCCGCUUUCCUUGCUAAUGAAUCAAACCAAUUCUGAAAUGUGCGUCAAUGUAUACACAUUCGCUGGUGAUUUUGUUAUCGUUGGGAUAUUCAUGAUUUUGGAAAUACGGUUGCAGGGUAGGUCUGCAUUUAAUGUCAAUUGAUCUGUUUGAAUUGAGAAAUCUGGGAGGAUUCAAUUGAUAUCGACCUUGGGAGAGGUUAAGGGGGAUGCACUGGUUGAAAAUCAGGGGGUGAAGGGGAAUGGGAAAAUGCCGGAGGGUAUGUAAGGAGGUUUUUAGGUUUAGUGGUGGGUGGAGAAAUAUACGAGGAGGGAAAAGUGAAAAAUUACUUUGCCGGGUACUAGAAUUGAGGUGCAAUGGAAUGUGUUUUAUUCACACAUAGGAAUUCCUGUCAAUACCGUCAAUUUUGUAAUGAAUUUUGUAAUUAAUAAUAUGUGCCUGCGUAAAAUUUACUAAACACCACUAUAAAAUUUGAAGGUCUACCAUUUUUUAUUUGAGUUUAAAUGAAAAAUUAAUAAAAAUCUUUCAAACAUUCCUGUCUAGAGCAGUUUAUUUUAUUGGGCCUUUCUGCAUUUUUUACUGUGCAGCAAUUUUUCCGUAACUCAUUGUAAUUGGUUAACGAUGAGCUCCGAAUAUAACCGA